rnacentral:lncRNA from 1 species
CCAAGGUCGCCGCGCUCGCCUUCUCCGGGGUACUUUUAUAAUUUUGCACCUGCCAGCGCCAGCAGGGUGGGUUAAAUAGGCACUAGGUGGAAACUGGAAGCCCAGCCUUCUCUCCCACUCUGGCUCCCCAAGGCAGCGCCUGCUCCCUACCCAGGCCUGGGUUUAGGGGCUGGAUUUGAUCUCAGAUGAAGCCGAUGUGUGAUGAAAGGAAAGUCUUUUGCCCUCUCUGAGCCUCAGUCUCCUCAGCUGUACAAUGUGAGCUUCAGAGCAGGCUCUUCCAGAGGCCCUUUUAGAACCUGGGCCUUGGUCCCUGAGCUCGCGCCCCGGAAGCUCCAGUGGUGGCAGGAUAGGGCCGAAUGUUGCCCUUCCAAGUGGUAGAUCUCUUCACGUUUCUGCCAAGAGAAGCCUUGGGCUUCCUAAGGAUGGGCAGAACCUGAUGGGUUGGGUGGGGUCUGUCUAAAGGCAGCGUUGACUCGGUGUCCAUUUGUCCUGGCUCAUUGUCACACAUUUGAGGACAUCUUUAACGGGGAGGGACAGAGGGUUGGAGACAGUCAACUGGCUUGGAGGUUUGGCAAGUUUGGGAGGUUGGCCAGUGGCAGACGCUCCUGCCCUUUGACCCGGGUCUGGGCAGGGGGUUGCUCAAAGCUCCAGUGUGAGGGGGAGAAAGGCAGCGGGAGACGGUAUAGGGACGCGCUCUCUCCUCUUGCUCUCAUUUUGGGGGGGCUGGAAAGAAAGGGACUCGAAGGCGCCUAUCUUUUCAGGAACAAGGCAACGAGAAGACCAACAAUGGCACCCACUACAAGUUACAGCUCCUCUACAGCAAUGGCGUCCGCACGGAGCAGGACCUGUACGUCAGGCUCAUCGACUCGGUGACCAAGCAGGUGAGCCCGGCGGUCCACUCUGCUCCUCCUCUCACGGGGCCCUGUCCGUCCCCUGCCCCCCGCCUGUCCCUGACCGCCCCAUACCCUCCACUUUUUCCUGGGUCAGACUUCACUUGCCUCUCUCCACGUCAACCCGCACCUUGUCCACUCUGAAAAAAAAGUUUUUUCUCUGUCUCCACAAUUGUCCUGGUUUUUUUCAGCCUGGGGAGACGCCGCGGGUGGGGGGAAGCGAACAAAGGAAUGAAGAGGGGAAGCAGUUAUUGGGAGCUUCAGCCCCGCUAAACAUUCCCUUUUGCAAGAAAUAUGUCUUCAUUGGGGUUAACUUCUCUAUUAUUAUUUUGCUGGAGUUAACCAGGCCACAGCUCAGAUUCUGUGCUGCGAGCGGGGACUCCUAA